UACACUCCUACGGGAGGCAGCAGUAGGGAAUCUUCGGCAAUGGGGGCAACCCUGACCGAGCAACGCCGCGUGAGUGAAGAAGGUUUUCGGAUCGUAAAGCUCUGUUGUAAGUCAAGAACGAGUGUGAGAGUGGAAAGUUCACACUGUGACGGUAGCUUACCAGAAAGGGACGGCUAACUACGUGCCAGCAGCCGCGGUAAUACGUAGGUCCCGAGCGUUGUCCGGAUUUAUUGGGCGUAAAGCGAGCGCAGGCGGUUUGAUAAGUCUGAAGUUAAAGGCUGUGGCUCAACCAUAGUUCGCUUUGGAAACUGUCAAACUUGAGUGCAGAAGGGGAGAGUGGAAUUCCAUGUGUAGCGGUGAAAUGCGUAGAUAUAUGGAGGAACACCGGUGGCGAAAGCGGCUCUCUGGUCUGUAACUGACGCUGAGGCUCGAAAGCGUGGGGAGCGAACAGGAUUAGAAACCCCGGUAGUCCCAUGA
rnacentral:rRNA from 1 species